GGCAUAAUGAAGGAACUGCAUCCUCUUAUAACCAGGUAGACAGAAAAAUCAGAGGAGGUAACCCAUUAUUAUAACGGAGUAUGAUUAAAUCACACUAUUCAACAAAGUUUAUUCCCAUAAGAAGAAAAAAGGUAUAAGGGAAGAUAUAAUUGUAGUUUAUUUAAUUUCAUCUUUUUACAUUACAAAAAUUACAGUAGUGUCUUUAAGUAAGCAUACACAAACCUACUGACUCUAGAC
rnacentral:lncRNA from 1 species